rnacentral:rRNA from 1 species
GACGAACGCUGGCGGCGUGCUUAACACAUGCAAGUCGAACGGAAAGGCCCUGCUUUUGUGGGGUGCUCGAGUGGCGAACGGGUGAGUAACACGUGAGUAACCUGCCCUUGACUUUGGGAUAACUUCAGGAAACUGGGGCUAAUACCGGAUAGGAGCUCCUGCUGCAUGGUGGGGGUUGGAAAGUUUCGGCGGUUGGGGAUGGACUCGCGGCUUAUCAGCUUGUUGGUGGGGUAGUGGCUUACCAAGGCUUUGACGGGUAGCCGGCCUGAGAGGGUGACCGGCGUCAUUGGGACUGCGAUACGCCCCAGACUCCUACGGGAGGCAGCAGUGGGGAAUAUUGCACAAUGAGCGGAAGCCUGAUGCAGCAGCGCCGCGUGCGGGAUGACGGCCUUCGGGUUGUAAACCGCUUUCGCCUGUGACGAAGCGUGAGUGACGGUAAUGGGUAAAUAAGCACCGGCUAACUACGUG